AGGUAGAGCAAAUCCCCAAAAACCGGUACUCAGUUCGGAUUGCAGGCUGCAACUCGCCUGUAUGAAGUCGGAAUCGCUAGUAAUCGCGGAUCAGCAUGCCGCGGUGAAUACGUUCCCGGGCCUUGUACACACCGCCCGUCACACCAUGAGAGUCGGGAACACCCGAAGUCCGUAGCCUAACCGCAAGGAGGGCGCGGCCGAAGGUGGGUUCGAUAAUUGGGGUGAAGUCGUAACAAGGUAUC
rnacentral:rRNA from 1 species